rnacentral:rRNA from 1 species
CAGUCGCCACGGGAAUACGAAGGGUGCAAGUGUUAAUCGGAAUUACUGGGCGUAAAGCGUGCGUAGGCGGUGAGUUAAGUCUGCUGUGAAAUCCCCGGGCUCAACCUGGGAAUGGCAGUGGAUACUGGCUCGCUAGAGUGUGUCAGAGGAUGGUGGAAUUCCCGGUGUAGCGGUGAAAUGCGUAGAGAUCGGGAGGAACAUCAGUGGCGAAGGCGGCCAUCUGGGACAACACUGACGCUGAGGCACGAAAGCGUGGGGAGCAAACAGGAUUAGAUACCCCCGUAGUCCCUGUCUCUUAUAC